GUUAUUAAAAUGAACUGUUUAUAUUAUCUCAGUUGAGUCAAUACAUUAUAAUGUAUUAAAAUGGAAAGGUACAAAAUUGAAAUAAAUACUUUCUGAUUCAUGUAUAAAUCUUUUGUCAAGAUGACAUUUUGUUGUGUUUUUUUUGUAUUUUUUUGUUUUUUUGUGUUUUUUUUUGUUUUGUUUUGUUGUUUUCAUCAGUACAUGUUUCAAUAAAACAUUUAAAAUGACAUUUAAAGUAUCGUUUAAAACAUGGUUCGUGGAAGAAAAGGUUGAAAUCAAACAACUUUUGGCUUGUUUUGGCAUGAGAUCUUGACACAAUCUGGGUUCCCCAAAACCACGUAAAUGGUGGUAAAAUAUAAAUGCUCGAACUUAUUUAAAAAAAUAAACAGGCUUUACAAAACCCUCUGAUCCUUGACUUAGCCACUUUUCUGUAUAGUCUGCACUUACGAUAUAUACAUUCAUUAUUGUCCAAGGGAAGACAGCCACUGACUUUCAUUUAAAGAGCUUGGUGGAGAGGCCUAACAAACAUGAUGCAGCUGACUACAAUUAACACGGUUUAAAAAAUUCCUGACAGUGCAAAAAAAAAAAACCCAAAAAACAACCAAAACAGCUCAGAAACCAAAGUGUACAAAUGGGACGGGGAAGAGGCAAGUGCAUGAGUCCAGAUCUGAAGCAAAGCGUUUUGGGUGUGUUGGCCAGCUCUACCGAAGGACAUUUGCAGGUAUAAUCCACUUUGUCAGCUACCCCAGCAAAGGUCCGUACCUAACACAGAACUCGCGGACCCGCGUGCUGGCAUAAAUCAUUAUUUCAGGCUCCCCUUUUAUAUCCUGGGCGUUUUUGCAGGGAAGUUGUUGAUUGGCACUCGGGAGCCUUCUGCAGAGAUGUCUUCAUUGGUGGUGAAUGCAAGAGCUGCACAGGGCAAAGCUCUGCGGUGAGAGCCUGGCUUGGGAAGAGGGGAUGAUGUCUCAAUGUGAAAUUGAAGAGCAGAAAGGGAGGAGAGGAUGUGAAUGUGGGCUCGGGACCUCUGAGAAGAGGCCAUGGGGAAUUUACUCCCGGGCAGCGGAUUUUAUCAGGAUCAUGGAGCAGGCGUCUUUGUGUGCUUUAAUUUCAACAGUGUGCUUAUUUCUUCUUUGUUGCCAUAGCCGUGGGCUGUUGUGGUCCCUCUAACCUCUCCCGUGUGCUUAUCAUCCUGGGGCAAUGGACAGACUGCCGUGUGGGGCAGGGAGUGGGAUCAUGGAUGAUGGUGGCUUUUCCCAAAGCUCAGUAUUCCAGGAACAACUCCAGUUUCAUUAAAAAGGGGAAAAUAAAUGCAGUUAUAUUAAAAAUAAAACGAACAAGAGCCUUCCUGCCAAUCUCUAGAUAAAACUCGAUGCCUGGAGCGACUCCUGUGGGUGUAUUGAUGCCAACAAGUUAAACUGCACAAUCAGAAGAGUGGCUCCUCUUUGUUUGAUGGUUUGGAAGGCUGUAGAAGACUCUGUCACCUCAGCACGGAAGAACAGCCCCACAUUAGCUCAGUGGAAGGGCAGGUGAGAUCCAAGGCAGCGCCAGCUUUCCUUGACGCUCUGUAGGCUCACUGGGAUCAAGUUGCGUUGUGUUCCUGGUCAUUCCCAUCCAAGUGGAAUGACUUGUGAAGCUCCAUAUAGUGCUGUAGGCACAGGGUUCCUACAGUGAAGCCAAUCCCACUUCCAAGAUGGAAAAGGUUGUAAAGUUUGUGCCAUAAAGGGUCAAGGGGACGUGAUUUGUUUCAAAAACUUGUUUUCAUUCUCCUCAAGAAGUCAGCAUGUCACAGUUAAAACAUCUUAGAAAAUGCGAGUUUCAAGAUGUUUCUUCUGGAAAAAUACCACAGCCAUGGGGAAAUGAAGGAUAUGACUUGAGGCUCAUUUAUCUUUUUUUAACCUUUUUGUAGCCCUAUCCAAUCUUCUGUCAGCAUCCAAAUGGUCACCUCAAAGGUCCUUUCUUGAAGGAAGGAGCAGAAAUUCCUGUACUGUGGCAGAAUGGUUUUCAUUCUGCUUGCCAUCCUUUGUGGUUAAGACAAAGCUGGGGAUGGAACAGCAUCUGCUGACUAUGGGGUAGGUUUGGAAAGCAACGUUUUCCUCUCUUCCUCUGCCAGUUGCUGGCAUUAAUGUCAUGAAUCAUUCAUGCUGGAACCUGAAUCCUUUGAAGUAUGUAUAGUCAAGCAGAGUUGUCUCUGUGCACCAAGGUGCUAAACUCCUAGCAGAGCAAAGAAAUCACCAACAAAUGAGUUUUCUCUACUCACCCUUACAAAUAUCAAUCACCUGCGCAUUGCCAUGGUGCUGUAGGACAGCCUGAACUGUGUCACGGAAAGUACUAGCAAACAAACACACAGCCCACGUGCAUGACUUCCAUGAUCUCCAAUGAGAUUCUACAGCCCAGGAAGUGUCUGUAGUGGCAAUGAGAUUAAUUACGGGGUUGCUGGAAGGUUGGGGCAGUAGGGCAAUAAACCUUCCAAGUGUGUGAUUUUCAGCCAAUGGAAGAAUAAGAGGAACAAGAGCAGAACUUCUCCUGUCAUGCUAAUCUCCAUGUGCCAUGUCCAGCUUUGCCUUUGUGGAGCUUUUGCAGAUGGCCCAAACCUUGACAACAGAUAAAAGCAAGGAAUAAAACUUGUGUCAUGGUUUACUUCUGCCAACACUGAUGGCUCAAGAAAAUAUUUGAUCAUGGAAUGCCAAUGAGAUUCUGAAUGAGUGGGACCAUUUCUCCUCCACCUUCCAGGUCAGGAUCUCACGAUCAGAGCCUCACAACACCCCUGUGAGGUAGAUAUUAUUAUACCUGGGUGGGUAAACUGAGGCACACGUAGAAGAAGUGGAGAGCAAGUGAAAGGAAAAGCUGAGGAUCCUGGGAUCCUCAACACCAGUCUCUUGCUCUGAGUACCAUUUCCUCUGUGAAAAAGAAGACACGUGACUGUCUGCUGGAAGGCAAGAAAGAACGACUGAUGAGCUCAUGAGACAGCAGAAAGAAUGAACACCCAUUUUCCUAGCGUAAGUUUGGCUCGUUAAAGGUCAAAGGAAGACACUGAGUGUGACAGCAAGGAAAGAGAUUAUCCAGAAGAGGUCAGAAAUGUCAGAAACCAAGUUAAAGAACAUGAACAAAAGCAUAACAGAAAGAGCUCCAAAUGGGUAUCCUUGGGGUGUCCCUCAAAUCAGCAUGGAAAUUCUGAUGGAGACACCAAUGAGCUUCACUUUUGCAGAUCCAGUGGUUUCCAGUGAGGUUACUUCUCAGCUCACAAGAAAGAAGGAAAGGAGAGUAAAAGAGGAAAAAAGGAAAAGAGAGGUGGGAGAGAGAGAGGAAGGGAAAAUGGCAGAGAAAAAAAGGAAAGAGGUGGGGAGAAGGAAGGGAGGGAGGAAGGAAGGGCAGAAAGAAAAAGAGAAAGAAAGAAAAGAAGAGAGAAAGGAAAAGGAAAGAACACACUUAAAGCCAUAGAGUUUUCCCCUUUUGCAACCUGCCUUUGCUUGUAAAGAGGCAAAGGGGGGGAUUUUCCCUUCCAAAAUUCUGCAAAGUGUCCCUAGGCAGAGAGAAUACAGGGCAGACUGUCUGAUGCAGAAGGUUUUGGGAGAUAGCACCUGGCACAAGGUUUGCUACAAUAAGUUGGUUAUUCUUUAUUGCGUUGGAUAUAAAACAGUCUUGUAAAGUCCUGCAUAAAACCAUAGCUCUGGCCUGCAAAGUCUCAGCCUCACCUGGGCUUUGCGGAAUAAUUUCGGGGCAAAAGGUUUGGGUUUGCUUUGUUGUUGUUGCUUUUAACUUUACUUGGUUUCAAGGAUGGAAAUUAAAGCUAUUUAUGAGUCUUCCUAGGGAAGGAGAAAGUCUGUCUAUACAGAGAGAUGUAUCCAAUGUAUUGCUGAUGAGGCCAGAGGAUGAGCAAAGCACGUUACUCAGCUUGUAAACCAUGGCAAUGUUUUUGAAGAGAGUUUUUGCCUAACCCCAGAACAUGCUCCUGUUGAGCAGAGCAAGGCUUGGUAGCAAUGAGGAGAAGCAGAUCUCUGACAGCUGGUGGAGAGCUGCGCCAUGCCCUUGACUGGUGCAUGUCAGGAUGGCUCCAGUUAUUUCAGUAGGACUCUGAUAAUUUACACCAGCUGUAUGGUUAAUUGCUCAAAUUAAAACAUUUGCAUGCUAGCUUUGAGACAGGGGAGAUAAACUGACCAUUGGAGGCAGUUUGUGGAAUGCCACUCAAAAAUCUAGCUUUUCCCAGUGCACAUAGAGCCAAGAAGAGGCAAACAGAUGUGAGGUGAGGUGACACCAUUGAGCAUUCUUCCAAAACACACAAGCAGACUUUCAACAACUAAGGUCUUUCCUUACAGGGAACAGACCCUUUUUCCAGUCAUGUUGAAGACAGAGAAGGUCAGCUUUGCAAAAGUAAAAUCCUAAGGGCUAGAAAAGGCCCUUUCAAGGAAUUGACUACUGAUGUCCUCUAUCAGAGGAUGCUCCCCACAUACAUCCUUGAGUUAACAGAUCUUGCAGCUUUAGAAAGCAAAGCCCCAUUUCAGCAGGAACUUUUCCAUGUAGAGACAUAGGACUCUGAACUGAUUGGAUCCUUGAAGACAAAAAACCCAUUGUGCACCAUGCCAUGAAACAUCCACCAGGUGAUUUCCUCCUGACCAGAGAACUGCACUUGGGCACUGGUUUUACCCUGGAUCAAAGUAAGAAGAGAAGCAGAUUGCUUCUGCUUGCUGAGCUGAGGAGAUGCCUACCACAAACAGCUUUAUGUGGAUGGAGCUGAUCCUGCAACACAUCUCAGGAUCUGUCUUCAGUGUUGAGGCCGCAUCCAUCGUGCUGUAUGAUGUAACUGCAUGCCAAGAAAGGAUUCCUCACUGUGCCUAAGUCAGGUUAGGCACAGUGUGCCUAAGGUUGUUUAUUUCCAGAUGAAAACCAGUUAGACUAUCAAGCAGCAAAAUCAGAGUGCAACCAUGGUUUAAAAGGAGUGGUGGAGAUCAGAGAAGAUCAAGAGAAAACAAUUCAGCCCAUAGCUUUGCAUAAGGGAGGAAAGAGAAGGCUGGAGUUGUCCUGUUUCUGGAGCAGAGAGGCAGAUUCUCAUUCCCUAUUCUCCUGUGCAAAAAGGACUAUUUUAUAAGCUCUUAGGGAAGAAAAGGCUGGUGAAAGCAAAGUGGAGAUGUUUAAGUAGCACUGUAAGGAUGGACAAAAUGAGAGGAACUGCUCAGAAAGAGAUAAAGCAAUGCAUCAGAUUGAUCUUGAUGAGCACUUCACUGGGAUUUGGACAUGUUAUACUUUGCUGGGUUCCCCCAAAGUGCAACCCACACUUCUUGCACCAGACGAUCACAUUCUGAUGAUGCCAUGAGUGAGGUCACCCCAGAGGUGGCUGUGAUAACAGUGCUCUGCCAUGGAUAGGCAGCAUGAGCCAGAUCGUGUCCUGCUGGAAAAGCCCUUUGAGACUCUCUGGGUUGAAGAGCACUAAAAAAACUGGUAGCUCUAUGUAUCUACAUCUAGCUCUGUGUUACCCUGGGGAAAGGCCACUGGAGGUUUGUCAGCUAUUAGAAACACAGAUGUCUCCGCAUCGACCUGUGCAGGGAGGUCAGUCCCAGGAGCUGCUCAUGGGCGCUGCAGCUUUGAUGGUGUCACUCAGAAAUGUUCUCUUUCUGGCAGUUCAGCAGAAGCAAAGCCUGGAGCAAACCAACGAGAAGUCAAGUGAAAAGGGACCAUGUCCUUUGCCUGUAUGCUUCCCACACCUGCAGGGCUGGGCUCCAAAUGAGCUCCUCCGGAACACGGUGGGUUUGUGCUUCUGGAAGCAGGGAGCUUAUUGCUGAACAGCUUCAUUAUGUUCCUCAUGGGAUGAUCGUCCCCACUUCACUGCUGUAGUUUCAGCGAUGCUGCUAAAAGCCAUAAUCAUCCAAUGGAGAGCUGGGAGAAACCCCAGGGAGCCUGCUGUGAUCCUGAUAAAACACGUGCUGCCGAGAGGAAAAACCCAACUUUCACUCACUAUGGAGGCACCAAAUCCUGCCCUUGUACCCCACAAUUAUCCGAGAUGGUCAGGCCUGAUGUUGAUGUCCUGGUGUAGGACAGGAGCCGGCCCCUCAGCUCAGCCUUGUCCCAGGGUCCAGCAGCCCGGCCGUGAGCAUCUCCCCACUGGCAAGAGAGAUCCCAGUGGAAAGUCAAACCUGGACUUCAGAGCAAAUUAAAUGGAACGCAGCAACUGAAUCACAACCGUGAUGCAAAACAUCAUUUUGCCGGACGAAACGCAGUUUCCACAACCUGGUUUUAAGGAACAGUAUUACAUAUAGAUAGAUACACUAUGCUAGAUCUUGAGGAAAAAAAUAAAUAAAGAAAGAAAUAUGCUAAGUAAACUAAGACAUACAGUAUAGGGGAUAUUCUGAUCAACAAACCAAUCACCAUUAGAAUCAAAAAGUAAACCAGCCUUUCACUUAGGACCCUAACAACAUUUCUCAAUGCACUAAGUACAUUUUAAACCAUGCAAGUUUACACAAACAUCUUAACUAGGUUGUUUUUUUUUUCCUUUUUUUUUUGUUUUUUUUUAACUUUUUUUUUUUUUUACUUUUUAAAACACCAACAUUAUGCAUUUCUUUGUUAAUUAUAUUGGUUAAAGUUGCAGCCGCUCGCUGCCAAAUAUCAGAUACAUCAUAUACAUAUUUUUAUACAGAAUCUGGACAACACAACAUUACACAGCCUAAAGAGAGAAAAAAAGAUUAUUUGUUCCUUUGUUUGUUUUCUUUUUUUUUUUUUAUUCUUUUAUAAAAAAGACGAAAUGAUGAUAGGAAGGAGGGAGAAGGUGUGAGAAAUCUACCAACUUAAAGGACUGUAGCCAAAUAAUUCCCAGAUCACAGUAAGACAAGGGAGAAAAUAAAAAUGGUUCAAACUCAGCUCCACGUGUAAGGUUCUCUUAGCUAGGAAACAAGACUUUCACACACAGAAUGUAUCAGUGUUUAAAAACAGAAAGGAUCGCAACACCAUGCUGUCUGAUUCCAAAUACAUCUCAUUUAAAAACAAAAACAAAAGAAACCAAAAAACCUAAAAACAAACCCAAAUCGAUCAGUCAACGUUGUGAUUGCAAAGUUAUCUUGUUGGUUGGGAUUUCCUACCUACUGGUAACGCAUUGCUGUGUGAUGGAGUUGGACAGCCAAGGCGACCACAGCAACGCCAGCAUAAAGGAACAGCUCGGACGUCACUCCCUGGUUCUGUUGGUCGGACACUCGGAGCAGCUGGAACUGCUGAGGGGAUCUGAUGCCAUCAAAAAGACUUGGAGGUCUUGGCUUUUCCUUCUACACGGCUUGUUUGGGUGUAUCUUUCUGACAAGAGCUUGGGGUGACCAACGCAGUUCCCAUGGCCAUACCCUGCCCAUCCACAUCCUGUAGCAAUGCGCGUGUUGUGUGAGACAGAAAGGAAACAGAACCUGGGAACUAACCGUGGAGGAUGCUGUUUGUGGACAUGAUACAAAAGAACACAUCAAUUUCACAAUUUCACGAGCACGGACUUUUGCCUCAAUAAAAGCAUGAAACGUCUGUCGAAAUCCCGACAAUUCAAACAUAAAAACCAUUGGAUGAAGGACAUGACUGUGUGUUUGAGUCACGGCAUUCUGCGACCCCACUGAGCUCUGGGGGCUCACAGAGGGUUGGGGUCUCACCCCACUGCCUCUGGCCCAGGCAGACCGCUAUUCCACCUCCCACAGCUGGGAUCUGAGGUUGUGCAUUUAAAGGUGAUGUUAGAAUUGAUUAGUGUUUUGUUUGGACAGGUUUCCUGCAGCAGGAUCACCCGUGCUGGCCCCAUGAUUCCAAGCAACAGGGGCUUUUUCCUUCAAGUAAUUUUAAGGUGAGAUGGAAAUGACUGCAGCCCUGGUGAUAUCCCGCUAUGAGGGACUAGCUCAAGGAAGAUGCUCCACUCAUACCCCUCCUACCACAAAGGAGGCAACACAGGACAUCACAGGGGCAAAACCAAGCUCAACACAUUAAUUCAGUAGUGAUAACCCAGAAUUACACCAGCACAACAGACUGCCCUGUCUUCAUGCAACUGAAGUCCCACAGAUUCCACUCUGAAUGGGGAACAAAACCUCCCAGCACUCGGAACCAUCACAGCAGUGCACUGCCAAUGUAAAUCUUCCUGUCUAUGCACAUUUGUUUCUGCCUGUGCACAUGCCCUAGACACACACAUAUGACUUAAUGGAUAUGGCAGAAGACCCUACAGCUCCUUCAUCACUGCUAAAAGGUAUGGAUAAUUCUCCUGGCUUCCUCUGGAAAUCAAUCCCUGCUAACAAGUUUUCUUCCUUUGCAGUAUUUAAGCAGCGUUCUCUACUUUGUUGACACAAAAACUGAAGGCUAAGCCCUUGGGGAAGCAUAUGGUGGAUGCACCACAUGGCAUGGAGGCCACUAAGCCCCACCAGACAUGGUAGGGCAGAGUGAAAAAACAUAAUGCAAGAUAUCUGAAGAUUAGAGACAGCCAAUCUGCCACCUUGCUGCUGGUCAGAUAUUUACCAUCACCAACCUGAUGUUAAACUCCGCUUGUUUUAUAGUCAAUAGACGGAAACGGCCUCUCCUGAAAUGUGAUUCUUCUUCCUAUCAUGAAUGUGACCAAAUGUGAUGCCUCACAGUCUGUCAGUGCUGGAGCAGGAGUAUAGACAACAAGUUCAGGUGAAGAGGCCACUUCCAUUGACUUAAGAUUAGGUGAGAUAAGUCCCUCCAUCCCCAACAAUCAGGAGGGCAAGAAAAAGUGUUGCCUAUUCAACCAAAUCAACAAAAAAGAAACCAACCCAAAACUCAGGGUGAAAUCAGGACUUGAUCAAAGUGCCAAGAUGUUCUCUUAAGCCAAUAGUAACUUACACAUAUCAGGUGUGGUUAAAGUUGGAAGAAUCAUUUUAAAGGGUGAGCAGGUUGCAUAGAUGAAAUUCCACAGAAUAGACAAUAAAGUCUUACUAUUUUCACUGCACAGAUGUUUAGCCAGCCAGAAGUUGGAUGUGUAUGGGGUUGCCAAGGAUCUCUCCUUCCAUCCUAAGCCAGAUAAAAGAUGGAUCACUUCCCAGAAGGACCAGACCUUUCCUUUGGACUGCAAUAUGGAUCUCGACUGCUGAAUUGUACUACAGCAUCCACUGCUUACAUUGCUUAUGACAAAGAGGACCGUGUUCAAUCUUCAACUGACAUCAACUGAAACCAAACCCAUGAGAGGUUGCACACAGCUUCCUGAAAGAUUAUUCUCCUAUUCCAAAUCACUGUUCCUUCACUGCUUGCUGAGUGAAGGUGUCCAGUGUUGCACACCAGUUUGGUUUGUGCAUACACUCCUGGGGCUGGAAUUAUCUCUAGUUGGCACUGAAAGGAGGACAAGUGAUUUACAAGAGAAAGAAAUGGAACUGGAGGAUGUUCUAGCCAUAGCUCUGCAGUUGCUUUCAAUUACAACUCAGUAUUUUUUAUUCUGCCUGUGUUUAGCAGCGUUCAGCAGCUUUGGCAUUUCUGAGCUAAACAAGCUUUAAAGAAUAGUAGCAGCAUAGUACAGUAGUAUAAUAUAGUAGUAAUAUAAUAGAAACAAUAAAAUCUUCCAUAUUUAAAACCAACAAAGCAAGAAAACAAAGAAAUAAGAAGAUGGUCCGAAAGUUCUAAGGCUGCGGGUGAAAUCAUAGCUCCAAGAAGAGGUGUCCAGUGACUCUGUAAUCAACUAAAAUGCAGACUUUGGGCAGAAAUUUCUAUGUCCCCUUGAACAGCAUUUGAAGAAUGUAUUUAGUGCUUGACUCUGUGAUUUCCAUUUCACAUUGGCCUUACUCACAAAUACGAUGAACUCCAUCUCACUUUAAGUUAGAUGUGAGAAAGUUCGACCCAAAGAAGUGGUGUGAGAUAUGUGGGUUGAAUUCCUCUUCAAGCGUGCCUGUCUCCUUCUGCUGAUGGUAGAGGAAGAAGAUCUAAAGAGGUUAGGCAAGGCACUUCAGUUUUUAGGGAGUGAAAGUUGAGUAGGAUUAAUCCUUCUUUCAAGUUUUCUCCCUGCUCCUAAUGGAGAUGUUAGUUACAGUAUUGUCAGGUGGGAAAGGCUGCAGAAUUACUCAGAGGGUACGUCCUAUAUUAAAAGAAAAAAACACUCAUAUUUUGAAAAUUACAUCUGCACUCCUCAGCUAAAUGAAGUCCCAGCCGGAGGCUAAAGAACAUUAUGAGAACAUUAUUAUCUCAGCUGGAGAUAAAGACAAAUAAUUUCUCAAAGGUCUUCCAUCCCUGUCUCUCUCUCUGGCACUUCAGACUAUUCCUAACCCUUCUGAGGAGGUCAUGCACAUGUUGGUUACCUUCUUUUUGUAAAGCUACUUUCUUCUUGAAAAGAGUUUGCCAUUGCUGAUGAAAUCUACCAAGCGCCGGGAGAGCUUGUAUCGAUCUGGCUCUUAGGAAAGUAAGAAACUUGACAAAAACUCUAGGCAGGAACAAUGCCUAUACAGAAGGAAGGCACAAGGAUGAGACACAUUCCCAUCACAGCGCUCUUUUGCUCAGGGGCUUUAAUUAAAUGAGGCAUUCCUCUCGAUGCGUGAUCAAUCACC